GCCUCUGUGGUGUAGUGGACAAUCACGUCUCUCUUCUAAAGAGAAGGUCGCCAGUUCGAUCCUGGUCAGGGGCG
rnacentral:tRNA from 1 species